AUACGAAGGGGGCUAGCGUUGCUCGGGAAUGACUGGGCGUAAAGGGCGUGUUAGGCGGUUUACACAGUCAGAUGUGAAAUCCCCGGGCUUAACCUGGGAGCUGCAUUUGAUACGUGUAGACUAGAGUGUGAGAGAGGGUUGUGGAAUUCCCAGUGUAGAGGUGAAAUUCGUAGAUAUUGGGAAGAACACCGGUGGCGAAGGCGGCAACCUGGCUCAUUACUGACGCUGAGGCGCGAAAGACGU
rnacentral:rRNA from 1 species